CACGAACGCUGGCGGCAGGCUUAACACAUGCAAGUCGAGCGCCCCGCAAGGGGAGCGGCAGACGGGUGAGUAACGCGUGGGAAUCUACCCAUCUCUACGGAAUAACGCAUGGAAACGUGUGCUAAUACCGUAUACGUCCUUCGGGAGAAAGAUUUAUCGGAGAUGGAAGAGCCCGCGUUGGAUUAGCUAGUUGGUGGGGUAAAGGCCUACCAAGGCGACGAUCCAUAGCUGGUCUGAGAGGAUGAUCAGCCACACUGGGACUGAGACACGGCCCAGACUCCUACGGGAGGCAGCAGUGGGGAAUAUUGGACAAUGGGCGCAAGCCUGAUCCAGCCAUGCCGCGUGAGUGAUGAAGGCCCUAGGGUUGUAAAGCUCUUUCACCGGUGAAGAUAAUGACGGUAACCGGAGAAGAAGCCCCGGCUAACUUCGUGCCAGCCGCCACGGUAACAC
rnacentral:rRNA from 1 species